AUUGAACGCUGGCGGCAGGCCUAACACAUGCAAGUCGAACGAGUGGCGGACGGGUGAGUAAUGUCUGGGCAACUGCCUGAUGGAGGGGGAUAACUACUGGAAACGGUAGCUAAUACCGCAUACCAUCAGAUGUGCCCAGAUGGGAUUCGCUUGUUGGUGGGGUAACGGCUCACCAAGGCGACUAUCCCUAGCUGGUCUGAGAGGAUGACCAGCCACAUGGGAAUGGAGACACGGUCCAGACUCCGACGGGAGGCAGCAGUGGGUAAUAUUGGACAAUGGGCGAAAGCCUGAUCCAGCCAUGCCGCGUGUGUGAAGAAGGUCUUCGGAUUGUAAAGCACUUUAAGUUGGGAGGCGUUACCAACAGAAUAAGCACCGGCUAACUUCGUGCCAGCAGCCGCGGUAAUUC
rnacentral:rRNA from 1 species